AAUCAUGUCGAGGUACUGCAGACAACAUCAUUCUGUACCUAACAAGUAUGCAUAAUUACUCGGGAAGUUUAAAAAUGGGCCAAAUUUUUACAGGGAUUUUGUACGCCAAAGAGUAUUUGAACAGAGAACAGCUGAAUGUUAAGAGUCAACCUAGGUCAAGUGGUCAGACUGCAACCAAAAGUUACGUUAGCUACCUAGCUCUGUGACUCAUAGCAAGCAGAGGGGAAGAAGUCAGCAUGGACUGCAUAUGACGUUAGAGCACCUGGGGUGAUUAUUAUCUGACUUGGGGUACUUGCUCAGGGAGGUAGAACUCUUCAGCUGUCGACGGAAUUCGGGGUACAGACGUGACUCUUCGCUGUUUGAUAUCACCACCGAUCGUUAUUAGCAAACUAUGUGUAAAAUGCAUAGAUGUAAAGGGACGCGAAGGUUGGGACACGAAGAUUCUUUCCACUAUACUGGGGAUAUGUUGUAACUGGGUUAAACGCGUCAACAACAUACCGGGUGACCCUGUGAGGAUGUUCUGGCUUAGAUUUAAAGGAAGUGGACA